rnacentral:rRNA from 1 species
AUGUGUGCUAUUUUCCAUUGCAUACCAGAUUGUCGGUUAAAAGAGUUUUUGUCUUCCAGCAAUGAGCUUUCAUUUUCAUUGCAGAGGUUUAUUUGGUUCAUCUCCUUUGGUCAUUUUUUUCAGUUUGUCUCUUCAGAAGUUUGGGUGCCUCUGUUUUGCUACUUUUUAGUUCUCAUCAUUAAAGUUGUAUCUUUCCUCCCCUCUUGGAUUGUUGCAUCCUUAUUGUGUCUCAUCGUUAAGGUGGCACAUAUAAGUAUUAAUUUAUUCAGUUCUGCUAAAGUACCGCUGAAAAUUCAAAUUCUAUGUACUUCACUUUUGGCUAUACACGAGAAUACAGUACACAUAUUUCAGUAG